UAGUCCACGCCGUAAACGAUGGUCACUAGCUGUGUGGAUUUCGGUCUGCGUGGCUAAGCGAAAGUGAUAAGUGACCCACCUGGGGAGUACGUUCGCAAGAAUGAAACUCAAAGGAAUUGACGGGGGCCCGCACAAGCGGUGGAGCAUGUGGUUUAAUUCGAUGAUACGCGAGGAACCUUACCAGGGCUUAAAUGUAAGUUGCAUUAGCUAGAGAUAGCUAUUUCUUCGGACUACUUACAAGGUGCUGCAUGGUUGUCGUCAGCUCGUGCCGUGAGGUGUCAGGUUAAGUCCUAUAACGAGCGCAACCCCUGUUGUUAGUUUGCCAGCGAGUCAAGUCGGGGGACUCUAACAAGACUGCCGGUGCAAACCGUGAGGAAGGUGGGGAUGACGUCAAAUCAUCACGGCCCUUACGUCCUGGGCCACACACGUGCUACAAUGGCCAGUACAGAGAGCAGCCCAUGUCGCAAGGCAGAGCGAAUCUACAAAACUGGUCACAGUUC
rnacentral:rRNA from 1 species